UACGAAGGGUGCAAACGUUGCUCGGAAUUAUUGGGCGUAAAGCGCACGUAGGCGGCUUGGCAAGUCGGAUGUGAAAUCCCUCGGCUCAACCAAGGAAGUGCAUCCGAAACUGCUGAGCUUGAGUACUUAAGAGGAUCGCGGAAUUCCCGGUGUAGAGGUGAAAUUCGUAGAUAUUGGGAGGAACACCAGUGGCGAAGGCGGCUCACUGGACCGGUACUGACGCUGAGGCGCGAAAGCGUGGGGAGCAAACGGG
rnacentral:rRNA from 1 species